GAAAACCAAGCAUUUUGGAUGUCAAGUUUUCAGAAUAGAGAUACUCAACUGAUAAAAUCUACACUCAUGUUGUCAAACCCUGUAAACUCCAAAAUCUGAAACAGUAUUGGAACUCUGCUUGUUCAGACAAGGGGUCUUCAGCCUGUACGAAUAGCCACUCUUCUCAGGGGCUCUCUCACCUGUGUAGCUGACUGCUCACAUGCCCUGCUCUCUUCUUUGAAGCAAUGGAGAAUUUAUUUAAUGAGGAGGAGGAUGCAGAAGAGAGUUGAGGACGACAUAGCAACCCUGCUCAUCUUGAAGAUGGCGGAGCCACCAAUGGAAGGAGCUUGAUUCCUUGCACUGUCACUGUGAGAAAGAAGAUGCUGAUAUGUGAGGCACCCAGGCUGGAGUGUUCAGCUUUACAAAAGCCAGCACCACCUCAGCUAAGGGACUCAGCUUGCUCGCAUGGAAAGUAGCAGCUGGUAGCCAGAGUGAUGCCUGGCGUGGCCCCAGAACAUGGCGGCCUCUGGUUCCUCCUCUGGGCCCAUGAAAGAGAACAGUGGCCCCAAGCAGCUUAGCACAGACAGUGAGUCACAGCCCUUGGCCUUAGGGACUACACUGGCUUUUGUAGACCUUUGCUUUCCUGAUGCAGGUGGCUCGAAAUACUCCUCCCCCACUGCCCACUGUGAAUCACGGAGGGUGACAAAGGCCUUUGUGCCCUUCAGAGAAAUACUGAGGAUGAAAUAAAAUAAUGAUUGGCAAA